UAAACCCAACUUAUGGUUUAAACGCUCA
rnacentral:sRNA from 1 species